rnacentral:lncRNA from 1 species
UUAGGAUCCCGGCCGCUGCCCAGGGGAGUGCAGAGGACUGGAAGGAUCAGCCGCCACUGCAAAGCGGCCCUCUGGGCACCCUGCCUCAGCUGGGCGCUACCGGUCUUCUCCGCAGCCCGCGGACCCCAGCCCGCCCGCCCCUGGCCGCGCACCAGUUUCGGGCUCGCGCCCCCGCAGGGAAGGGGUCUGCGCCGGCACCGCGGAGAUGUGGAUUACUCAGCAGAUAAGGCAGCCUCCCUGCGCCCUCCACAACUUUCUAAUUGCAACAGCCACGCAGCCGCCUCAAAACGCGGUCUCUGCUACCCAGAGCACGGACUCUCUUUCCUGCGCCCUAUCAAUGGACGUCUUCGCCUGGAUGCUAUCCUACCCAGCCCACACCCUGCCCCCGAGCGGGCUCGCAAUCCUCGCUUCCCGUCCCUUCCCCUUCCGACUCUCCCUUCCCGGACGGCGUCAGCUCCCUUAGGUCCCAUUCCCGUGAGGGUGCCGCUGGCACCACACCGCUCUCCACCUCUGCCCGCCGCCGCGGCUGACGCGCAGGAUCGCGCUCCAUCCUUUCGCCAGCCUUCUUCCCUGGGGAGCUGGAAAUGGAAAGGGGAGGGUUCCUCCCUGCCAAGUUGGGGGAACGGACCUUCUCUCCGGCCUUCCCAGACCCAGCCCGAGGGCCCCGAGGCUCUUCCCGGAGAUGAGAGGCAAGUAGACCCGCAGCGCGCAGCAGAGCCCCCUUGCCGCUCUCAAGAAGCAGCUGCAAACUGUUGCACUGCGGAGCAGCGAGGCGGCGCGCAAACCUGGGCCGGGGCAGGGGCGGGGGCCGAAGCUACGGCCAGGGGUGCCUGCGCAGGCCGCCGGGGCUGUCCUACCCACUCGCGCCCGGCCACCCGGCCGCCCAAAGCCUUUAGCCGCAUGGCGUCCCUUACCUGGGGCCGCCAGCUGGCUGCAGGGAGGGAGCCCCCGCCGCGAGGCUGCAGAGGCGGCUGCAGAAGGCGCGGAGUGAAGGGGCCAGAGACCAAGCCGCGCUGCCGCCGCCGCCGCCGCCGCCGCUGCCGCUUUGGGGAGCUCAGCUCGCAGCCUAUUGCCAGAGAGGCCGGUGACGUCAGACAGGCACCGCCAGGGCUCCAAGCCACCCCUCAGGCCCCCACCUCACCCUCAUACCCCAGCACCUCGUCCUGGCAGAGCGAGCCUCCGCCUCACACGUUCCCAGUUCCCUGCCCAGGGGCUAUGAAGAGCAGCCCCCACCGCCAGCCUGUGACCAAGCCACCUACCUUCUGCACUCCGACGCCUGGAAGGAGGGCUGAAGCCUCAGUUCUUUGGCUGCCCAGUUCCUCACCCUCAACCCUUUCCCACGUGGUCCCAGGUACACCUUUUUACAAUCUAGAGAUCCAUCUUCCGUCAGGGCACACACUAGAUUUUUCUCCCUCCGUUGAUGAGGAUCACCCCGCUCCCCAGUCCUGUCUAUGCUGGCCUGGUUCUGAACAGAAACUGCGUGCUUAG